GACGAACGCUGGCGGCGUGCCUAAUACAUGCAAGUCGAGCGAAUCUGAGGGAGCUUGCUCCCAAAGAUUAGCGGCGGACGGGUGAGUAACACGUGGGCAACCUGCCUGUAAGACUGGGAUAACUCCGGGAAACCGGGGCUAAUACCGGAUAAUAUCUAUUUAUACAUAUAAUUAGAUUGAAAGAUGGUUCUGCUAUCACUUGCAGAUGGGCCCGCGGCGCAUUAGCUAGUUGGUGAGGUAACGGCUCACCAAGGCGACGAUGCGUAGCCGACCUGAGAGGGUGAUCGGCCACACUGGGACUGAGACACGGCCCAGACUCCUACGGGAGGCAGCAGUAGGGAAUCUUCCGCAAUGGACGAAAGUCUGACGGAGCAACGCCGCGUGAGUGAUGAAGGCCUUCGGGUCGUAAAGUUCUGUUGUUAGGGAAGAACAAGUAUGAGAGUAACUGCUCGUACCUUGACGGUACCUAACCAGAAAGCCACGGCUAACUACGUGCCAGCCGCCGCGGUAACAC
rnacentral:rRNA from 1 species